rnacentral:tRNA from 1 species
GCCGGGAUGGCGGAACUGGUAGACGCGCCAGACUCAAAAUCUGGUAUGGGUGACCAUGUGGGGGUUCGAUUCCCCCUCCCGGUACCA